rnacentral:rRNA from 1 species
CUCCAGACUCCUACGGGAGGCAGCAGUGGGGAAUAUUGCACAAUGGGGGAAACCCUGAUGCAGCGACGCCGCGUGAGUGAAGAAGUAUUUCGGUAUGUAAAGCUCUAUCAGCAGGGAAGAAAAUGACGGUACCUGACUAAGAAGCCCCGGCUAACUACGUGCCAGCAGCCGCGGUAAUACGUAGGGGGCAAGCGUUAUCCGGAAUUACUGGGUGUAAAGGGAGCGCAGACGGCAGUGCACGUCUGGAGUGAAAGCCCGUGGCUUAACCACGGGACUGCUCUGGAAACUGUGCAGCUAGAGUGCAGGAGAGGCAGGCGGAAUUCCUAGUGUAGCGGUGAAAUGCGUAGAUAUUAGGAGGAACACCAGUGGCGAAGGCGGCCUGCUGGGCUUUAACUGACGCUGAGGCUCGAAAGCGUGGGGAGCAAACAGGAUUAGAUACCCCAGUAA